AUGCGUUGUUGGGUAGGGGAGCGUUCUGUAAGCCUGCGAAGGUGUGCUGUGAGGCAUGCUGGAGGUAUCAGAAGUGCGAAUGCUGACAUAAGUAACGAUAAAGCGGGUGAAAAGCCCGCUCGCCGGAAGACCAAGGGUUCCUGUCCAACGUUAAUCGGGGCAGGGUGAGUCGACCCCUAAGGCGAGGCCGAAAGGCGUAGUCGAUGGGAAACAGGUUAAUAUUCCUGUACUUGGUGUUACUGCGAAGGGGGGACGGAGAAGGCUAUGUUGGCCGGGCGACGGUUGUCCCGGUUUAAGCGUGUAGGCUGGUUUUCCAGGCAAAUCCGGAAAAUCAAGGCUGAGGCGUGAUGACGAGGCACUACGGUGCUGAAGCAACAAAUGCCCUGCUUCCAGGAAAAGCCUCUAAGCAUCAGGUAACAUCAAAUCGUACCCCAAACCGACACAGGUGGUCAGGUAGAGAAUACCAAGGCGCUUGAGAGAACUCGGGUGAAGGAACUAGGCAAAAUGGUGCCGUAACUUCGGGAGAAGGCACGCUGAUAUGUAGGUGAAGUCCCUCGCGGAUGGAGCUGAAAUCAGUCGAAGAUACCAGCUGGCUGCAACUGUUUAUUAAAAACACAGCACUGUGCAAACACGAAAGUGGACGUAUACGGUGUGACGCCUGCCCGGUGCCGGAAGGUUAAUUGAUGGGGUUAGCGCAAGCGAAGCUCUUGAUCGAAGCCCCGGUAAACGGCGGCCGUAACUAUAACGGUCCUAAGGUAGCGAAAUUCCUUGUCGGGUAAGUUCCGACCUGCACGAAUGGCGUAAUGAUGGCCAGGCUGUCUCCACCCGAGACUCAGUGAAAUUGAACUCGCUGUGAAGAUGCAGUGUACCCGCGGCAAGACGGAAAGACCCCGUGAACCUUUACUAUAGCUUGACACUGAACAUUGAGCCUUGAUGUGUAGGAUAGGUGGGAGGCUUUGAAGUGUGGACGCCAGUCUGCAUGGAGCCGACCUUGAAAUACCACCCUUUAAUGUUUGAUGUUCUAACGUUGACCCGUAAUCCGGGUUGCGGACAGUGUCUGGUGGGUAGUUUGACUGGGGCGGUCUCCUCCUAAAGAGUAACGGAGGAGCACGAAGGUUGGCUAAUCCUGGUCGGACAUCAGGAGGUUAGUGCAAUGGCAUAAGCCAGCUUGACUGCGAGCGUGACGGCGCGAGCAGGUGCGAAAGCAGGUCAUAGUGAUCCGGUGGUUCUGAAUGGAAGGGCCAUCGCUCAACGGAUAAAAGGUACUCCGGGGAUAACAGGCUGAUACCGCCCAAGAGUUCAUAUCGACGGCGGUGUUUGGCACCUCGAUGUCGGCUCAUCACAUCCUGGGGCUGAAGUAGGUCCCAAGGGUAUGGCUGUUCGCCAUUUAAAGUGGUACGCGAGCUGGGUUUAGAACGUCGUGAGACAGUUCGGUCCCUAUCUGCCGUGGGCGCUGGAGAACUGAGGGGGGCUGCUCCUAGUACGAGAGGACCGGAGUGGACGCAUCACUGGUGUUCGGGUUGUCAUGCCAAUGGCACUGCCCGGUAGCUAAAUGCGGAAGAGAUAAGUGCUGAAAGCAUCUAAGCACGAAACUUGCCCCGAGAUGAGUUCUCCCUGACUCCUUGAGAGUCCUGAAGGAACGUUGAAGACGACGACGUUGAUAGGCCGGGUGUGUAAGCGCAGCGAUGCGUUGAGCUAA
rnacentral:rRNA from 1 species